rnacentral:rRNA from 1 species
GACGAACGCUGGCGGCGUGCUUAACACAUGCAAGUCGAACGGAAAGGCCCUGCUUUUGUGGGGUGCUCGAGUGGCGAACGGGUGAGUAACACGUGAGUAACCUGCCCUUGACUUUGGGAUAACUUCAGGAAACUGGGGCUAAUACCGGAUAGGAGCUCCUGCUGCUUGGUGGGGGUUGGAAAGUUUCGGCGGUUGGGGAUGGACUCGCGGCUUAUCAGCUGGUUGGUGGGGUAGUGGCUUACCAAGGCUUUGACGGGUAGCAGGCCUGAGAGGGUGACCGGCCACAUUGGGACUGAGAUACGGCCCAGACUCCUACGGGAGGCAGCAGUGGGGAAUAUUGCACAAUGGGCGGAAGCCUGAUGCAGCAACGCCGCGUGCGGGAUGACGGCCUUCGGGUUGUAAACCGCUUUCGCCUGUGACGAAGCGUGAGUGACGGUAAUGGGUAAAGAAGCACCGGCUAACUACGUG